rnacentral:tRNA from 1 species
AAGAUUAUAGUUAAAUAUAACAUUUGAUUUGCAUUCAAAAAGUAUUGAAUUUUAUUCAAUUUAUCUUA